AUUGAACGCUGGCGGAAUGCUUUACACAUGCAAGUCGAACGGCAGCACGGGGCAACCUGGUGGCGAGUGGCGAACGGUGAGUAAUACAUCGGAACGUGCCCAAUCGUGGGGAUAACGUAGCGAAAGUUACGCUAAUACCGCAUACGAUCUACGGAUGAAAGCGGGGAUCGCAAGACCUCGCGCGAGUGGAGCGGCCGAUGUCAGAUUAGGUAGUUGGUGGGGUAAAGGCUCACCAAGCAACGAUCUGUAGCUGGUCUGAGAGGACGACCAGCCACACUGGAACUGAGACAGGUCCAGACUCCUACGGAGGCAGCAGUGGGAAUUUUGGACAAUGGGCGCAAGCCUGAUCCAGCCAUU
rnacentral:rRNA from 1 species